UACGUAGGUCCCGAGCGUUGUCCGGAUUUAUUGGGCGUAAAGCGAGCGCAGGUGGUUUAUUAAGUCUGGUGUAAAAGGCAGUGGCUCAACCAUUGUAUGCAUUGGAAACUGGUAGACUUGAGUGCAGGAGAGGAGAGUGGAAUUCCAUGUGUAGCGGUGAAAUGCGUAGAUAUAUGGAGGAACACCGGUGGCGAAAGCGGCUCUCUGGCCUGUAACUGACACUGAGGCUCAAAAGCGAGGGGAGCAAACAGG
rnacentral:rRNA from 1 species